AUGCAUCGUCUUUUCAACUUAGACACAAAUUCAGAAGUAUUGAAAAUGAUUCAAGGUAUGUACGGAAAUGUACAAAGCUUCGACUCGCGUCCCCUUUAUCAGUUCAGUAUGCUUAAAAACUGCAACAUUGUUCUGAGUGACCAUGUUCAUGUUACAUGUUCGCCUUACACUGGCAUUUAUCCUAUUGUGGUUCUUUCCCUCUUUCUGAUAUACUAUGUAGCAAUAUGUUUCUUUCUAUGGUUGGUAAAUCAUAAUUCCACAUUUUCUACCGAUAAGAGCAUAUGUGAAGAAUAUAAUUUCAAAUGCAUCAAAUGUGCACAUGAGGUAGCAAAUCAUACAUGUCUACUAUGA
rnacentral:rRNA from 1 species